rnacentral:lncRNA from 1 species
UUAUCUCUCUAGCCCACUACCUACACGCCACCCCUUACUCACUACAGCCACCUAUCCCCUCACUUUUCUGUCAGCUCUCAAAAAAAAGAAAAAGAGAAAAGCUGAGCUUUUCUUACGGACCCCUCAUAAAUCUUCCACAUUUUCCUCUUCUUCACAUCACAAAAACCCAACUUACCAUAGUCUCUCUCUCACCAACACCCCUCAUUUAAUACCACUCACUCACUGUCAGUAAAGUCACAAGGAAAAAAGACAAAAAUAUAAAAGGAGAAGGAAACUCCUUUGUCUUCCUCAACAGCUCCUUCGACGCCAACACAAAUCCAAAUCCACCGCACCCUCUCUUCCGCCGUCCGCUAUCUCUUCCCUCUCCUUCUUCUUGACUUCGCCGUCAUCACCUCUCCACUCACACGCCUCGCUCAACAGCCUUCACAAACCACUCAACCUCCACCGGCGAUAACGAACCGCCGCCUACACUCAAACCCACCGUAAAAACCACAACCAAUACUCCCUUUCCGACAUCAUCUCCCUCUGUCCGUCUCCACCGGCGAAACCCACACACCCACCGUCUUCGCUUUUCCUUCUCCACCCUUAAGACAUUCGCACAUCACCUUGUUUUUUCUAGCAAACUGCAUAUCUAUCUAUCCAUUCUCCAUACGAAACGAAAUCUCCACAGAUUUGAACAAAAACAAGUUAUUCAAUAAAUCAAGUUUGGUUCAGAUCUGGAUGACGGCUCGCAACGAGGAUUUGAAGAGGAUGAACAAGAGUGACUUGUAGCCAAAAUCUAUUGUGAGAGUGAAAGGUUAGAAUUUGUUCAAGUGAUUGCGUGCAGACUUCUCAUCAAAAUAAUAACAACAUCCGGCGUCAAGAUUAUAUGUGGUAAUUUUUUGGUUCCACUUCCUGUUAUAUUUGCUUUUUAUUCUGUUGUAUUUAAUUAUGUCGGUUGAUACUCUAUUAUUAUUAUUAUUAUUAUUUUAUCCUGGUUUGUGGCUUGUAUAGUCUUCAUAAAGGUUUGCAUCAUAUUAAAGCUCCACAAACAAGAUUAUAUUCUAUUACUAGUAAAUUUUGGAAUUUGUUUGAGUGGGUCCUAUUUGUUUUGAUACAAUUUUUACCUUUGCCUGGACUUAUUAAAUUAUAAUGACAUUUCUAUAGAAUGCAAAGUUUUUUUUUUAAGCUUUAAGUGUUAUUGACAUUCUUUAUUAACCAUUGGAGUGAUUGGAUUUAAUUUUGGAAAAAUGGCCUUUAUAGUGUGAAUGGGUUCUUACCUAUAUGUGAGUAGAAGCACGUUUGGAUUAUGGUUUUUGGCUUCUCCAUUAGGUUAUUAUUGUUAAAAUUUUGUUCUCAGGUGAAAGAGAAGCAUGGACAUGAAUUAGAAUGUUGACGGUUCGGUUUUGGCUUUUUUUUUUCUUUAAAAAAUGUUACUUUAAUUAGAUUUAUUAUUAUUAUUAUUAUUAUUAUUAUUUAAAUGUAAUUUUAUUAUUAUUGGUCUAAUUAGGUUCAAUAUAAGUCCAUCUCACUUUUUUUUACUUUGCUAUUGAAUUACGUUGGAUUCAGUACCAUUUUUUUAGUGUAUAUAAUUGAAAAUAUCAUAUUAUGUUUUAUAAUUUC